rnacentral:rRNA from 1 species
AACCAUAAGGCUAGAUCGUGACAGGUAAGCGAAAUCUUAGGAAAGUAGCGAAGCACAUGAUGACGGCUUCCAGGAAAAGCUUCUGGCAAUGCAUAUGCGGCCCGUACCAAAACCGACACAGGUGGGCAGGGAGAGAAUCCCGAGGUGAGCGAGAGAACUGUUGCCAAGGAACUCGGCAAAAUGACUCCGUAAGUUAGCGAGAAGGAGUGCUUAAGCAAUUAAGCCGCAGUGAAGAGGCCCAAGCGACUGUUUAACUAAAACACAGCUCUCUGCGAAGUCGCAAGACGAAGUAUAGGGGGUGACACCUGCCCGGUGCUGGAAGGUUAAGAGGAUCUGUUAAGAGCGAUCUGAAGCAGUGAUCCGAAGCCCCAGUGAACGGCGGCCGUAACAAUAACGGUCCUAAGGUAGCGAAAUUCCUUGUCAGGUAAGAUCUGACCCGCACGAAAGGUGUAACGAUUUGGGCGCUGUCUCGGCAGCAGACUCGGUGAAAUCUUAGUACCUGUGAAAAUGCAGGUUACCCGCAACUAGACGGAAAGACCCCAUGGAGCUUUACUGCAGCCUGAUAUUGAAUUCUGGUCAUACAUGUACAGGAUAGGUGGGAGACAAAGAGACGUGCACGCCAGUGUACGAGGAGUCGACGUUGGGAUACCACUCUUGUGUGACUGGGGUUCUAACCUGGUAUCGAGAACAGGUACGGGGAGAGUGUCAGGUGGGCAGUUUGACUGGGGCGGUCGCCUCCCAAAGAGUAACGGAGGCGCCCAAAGGUACGCUCAGAUUGGAUGGAAACCAAUCGUCGAGUGCAAUUGCAGAAGCGUGCUUGACUGUGAGACAGACAAGUCGAACAGGGACAAAAGUCGGGAAUAGUGAUCCGGCGGUGCCGAAUGGAAGGGCCGUCGCUCAACGGAUAAAAGCUACCCUGGGGAUAACAGGCUGAUCUCGCCCAAGAGUUCACAUCGACGGCGAGGUUUGGCACCUCGAUGUCGGCUCAUCGCAUCCUGGAGCUGGAUUCGGUUCCAAGGGUUGGGCUGUCCGCCCAUUAAAGCGGUACGCGAGCUGGGUUCAGAACGUCGUGAGACAGUUCGGUCCCUAUCUGUUGUGGGCGAAGGAGAUCUGCGGAGAGCUGUCCUCAGUACGAGAGGACCGGGAUGGACCUACCGCUGGUGCACCGGUUGUUCCGCCAGGGGCAUAGCCGGGUAGCUAAGUAGGGAAAGGAUAAGCGCUGAAAGCAUCUAAGCACGAAGCCUACUCCAAGAUGAGAUCUCCCAUUCGCAAGAAGUAAGACCCCUUAAAGACGAUAAGGUAGAUAGGCCAGGGAUGGAAGUGCAGUGAUGUACGGAGUUGACUGGUACUAAUCGGUCGAGGACUUAAUC